rnacentral:rRNA from 1 species
UACGUAGGGCGCAAGCGUUGUCCGGAAUUAUUGGGCGUAAAGAGCUCGUAGGCGGUUUGUCGCGUCUGCUGUGAAAACCUAAGGCUCAACCUUGGGCUUGCAGUGGGUACGGGCAGACUAGAGUGCGGUAGGGGUGACUGGAAUUCCUGGUGUAGCGGUGGAAUGCGCAGAUAUCAGGAGGAGCACCGAUGGCGAAGGCAGGUCACUGGGCCGCAACUGACGCUGAGGAGCGAAAGCAUGGGGAGCGAACAGG